rnacentral:rRNA from 1 species
AUACGGAGGGUGCAAGCGUUAUUCGGAAUCACUGGGCGUAAAGGACGCGUAGGCGGGUUGGCAAGUCAGAUGUGAAAUCCUACAGCUUAACAGUAGAACUGCAUUUGAAACUGCUAACCUAGAGUAUGGGAGGGGGAGAUGGAAUUAGUGGUGUAGGGGUAAAAUCCGUAGAUAUCACUAGGAAUACCGAAAGCGAAGGCGAUCUCCUGGAACAUAACUGACGCUAAGGCGUGAAAGCGUGGGGAGCAAACAGGAUUAGAAACCCUUGUAGUCC